rnacentral:rRNA from 1 species
UAAUACGUAGGGUGCAAGCGUUAAUCGGAAUUACUGGGCGUAAAGCGUGCGCAGGCGGUUGUGCAAGACAGAUGUGAAAUCCCCGGGCUUAACCUGGGAAUUGCAUUUGUGACUGCACGGCUAGAGUGUGUCAGAGGGGGGUAGAAUUCCACGUGUAGCAGUGAAAUGCGUAGAGAUGUGGAGGAAUACCGAUGGCGAAGGCAGCCCCCUGGGAUAACACUGACGCUCAUGCACGAAAGCGUGGGGAGCAAACAG